rnacentral:misc_RNA from 1 species
AAAGUCGUAACAAGGUCUCCGUAGGUGAACCUGCGGAGGGAUCAUUAACACGUAUCCAAACGUAUCAAACUCAACCGGUCUCGACCCGCUCCCCAAUGUGACGAAAGGUGGUUAGCAGGAUCUCCUAGGUGAAUUCCUUUUGUAUGAACAAGCAAUUGUGCAUGCAAAGGGUCUGUCCUGCAACUAUGACGGUAGACGUAUGUGCUACAAUCAAGCCUUAUCGCAGUUGGUGUAGAAUUUUAGUCACCUGGCUAUUUGGGCAACCCUGCACUUAUAGUGGGCUCAUACCUGCUAUAUUUGACCAGGAUCCUUAUGGCCUUAUUAACCAUUAAACUCUUGAACUUUACAACACUGAACAUACUUGUGCUAGUCGAAAGGCGGCACAAUUUACGAAAUAUGUACAACUCUUAGCAACGGAUAUCUUGGUUCUC